rnacentral:lncRNA from 1 species
AAAUAAAUGGUAACCAGAUGCUCCGCAGGGCGUAGCUUUAUACGACCGCAGAGGUUGAACACUGAACGGUUGGGGCAAGUAUGGACACAACAUUCAAGCUGGAUUCAGCUCUAAAUUUGGAUUGUGAUUAAAUAGUUGACACAGCAUAGAUUUCUGACACAGAAUGAAUGUGUUCUAAUGAACUUAAAAUUUUUGUUUUCUCUUAGAGCAAUUCACUAUGCUGUUGAAUAUUAAUCCUCUCAAAAAAAUGUUUGAAGAAAUUUUCUUUUUUAUUUAUGAAAUUUCAAAUGAGAAAAAUUGAACCCAAUUUUUUUAAUCACAUCCCCCUUUCCCUUAGUUCCAAAACUAAUCUCAAUUAAAAUUUCUAAUGGAGUUUGCAACAAU